UACGGGGGGGGUAAGCGUUGUUCGGAAUUACUGGGCGUAAAGUGUGCGCAGGUGGCCGCGCAAGUCGAGUGUGAAAGCCCCGGGCUUAACUUGGGAAUUGCGCUCGAAACUACGUGGCUAGAGUGUGGCAGAGGGAGGUGGAAUUCCACGUGUAGCGGUGAAAUGCGUAGAGAUGUGGAGGAACACCAAUGGCGAAGGCAGCCUCCUGGGCCAACACUGACACUCAUGCACGAAAGCGUGGGGAGCAAACAGG
rnacentral:rRNA from 1 species